GACGAACGCUGGCGGCGUGCUUAACACAUGCAAGUCGAACGGAAAGGCCCGGCGUUUGUGGGGUUCUCGAUAGGGGAACGGGGGAGUGACACGUGAGGAACCUGCCCUUGACUGUCUGAGAUCUUCACGAGACUGGGGCGAAUAUCGCGUAUAAUCUCCUGCUGCGUGUGGUUGGUUAGAGAGUGUCGGCGUUGCGGUAUGUACUAGCGGGUUAUGAGCUGCUUUGGGGGGUAGGUGCUUACCAAGGGUUUGACGGGUAGGCGGCCUGGGAGGGUUAACGGCGACAUUGGGACUGCGAUACGGCGCAGAAUCCUACGGGAGGCAGCAGUGGGGAAUAUUGCACAAUGGGCGGAAGCCUGAUGCAGAAACGCCGCGUGCGGGAUGACGGCCUUCGGGUUGUAAACCGCUUUCGCAUGUGACGAAGCGUGAGUGACGGUAAUGGGUAAAGAAGCACCGGCUAACUACGUG
rnacentral:rRNA from 1 species